GAUGAACGCUGGCGGCGUGCCUAAUACAUGCAAGUCGAGCGAACGGACGAGAAGCUUGCUUCUCUGACGUUAGCGGCGGACGGGUGAGUAACACGUGGAUAACCUACCUAUAAGACUGGGAUAACUUCGGGAAACCGGAGCUAAUACCGGAUAAUAUCUUGAACCGCAUGGUUCAAAAGUGAAAGACGGUCUUGCUGUCACUUAUAGAUGGAUCCGCGCUGCAUUAGCUAGUUGGUAAGGUAACGGCUUACCAAGGCAACGAUGCAUAGCCGACCUGAGAGGGUGAUCGGCCACACUGGAACUGAGACACGGUCCAGACUCCUACGGGAGGCAGCAGUAGGGAAUCUUCCGCAAUGGGCGAAAGCCUGACGGAGCAACGCCGCGUGAGUGAUGAAGGUCUUCGGAUCGUAAAACUCUGUUAUUAGGGAAGAACAUAUGUGUAAGUAACUGUGCACAUCUUGACGGUACCUAAUCAGAAAGCCACGGCUAACUACGUG
rnacentral:rRNA from 1 species